AUGAAAGCAUUCACUCGACCAAA
rnacentral:snRNA from 1 species